rnacentral:lncRNA from 1 species
AUGGAGUUUUGCCUUUAUUGCCUAGGCUGGAGCGCAAUGGCACGAUCUGGGCUCACGGUAACCUCCGCCUCUCAGGUUCAAGCGAUUCACCUGCCUCAGCCUCCCGAGUAGCUGGGAUUACAGGCAGGUGCCACUACGCCCGGCUAAUUUCGUAUUAACAGGGUUUCUCCAUGUUGGUCAGACUGGUCUCGUACUCACAACCUCAGGUGAUCCACCUACCUCAGCCUCCCAAAGAGCUGGGAUUACAGGCAUGAGCCACCGCACCCGGCCCAACCUGAUUUGACAUUUUACCUUCUUUGGGUUAUGUCCUCCUUCCUGGGUAGGAACUUGGACCUGCAGCCUCCCUCCUGCUAAACGGACUGAUCCUUGCCCUCACCUGACUGUUCUACCCCCACACCUAUUGCCCCUCCUGGAAGCAGAAAUGGCUUUGAUGGAAGGCAAUUGGGCCGCUGUGAGAGGACUCCACAAGGCCUUCCCGAGAUGUUCUCUGGGGUCACCUGAUUGUGGAAAAAUUGAGUUUGAGCAAAACUGGCAUGGCCGUACUGGAUGGAUCUCAGCAUGACCAGGGCAUAUUUGAGCUCAAAUCCACUGUGCCAAGAACACAUUCUGCCAAGGACCACCACCUCUUCCCACAACUGUGAGUGGGUUUAUGUCAUCACAGGAGGUGCAAAAACGUGUGGCGAGCAGUGAGUUGCCAUAUUGGAAGCAAAGAACCAUCCUCACCACACACCCAAUCUGCCAGCACCUUGACCUUGGACUUCCAGCCUCUGAAACUGUGAGAAGUAAAUUUUUAUUGUUUACAAAUUACGUAGACUCUUGUAUUUUGUUACAGCAGCACAAAUGAACUGAGACAGUGGCUCACAUUCACUUUCCCACUCACUAGAAACAGACAUGAGGUCACUGUUCUCUACACAUUUUCCUCCGUUAGGAGUCCACAGAAUCAUUCUGCUCUCAGGCUCAGUAAAGAACAUGACUAUUAACUCGCUCAGGCACCUUCUCUCUUCCUUUCACUGCCCCUGCUCAUAGGUCUACUCUUUAAAAGCUGAAGCUAAUAACCUAAUUUACUGAGCACCUACUAUAGUCCCAGACACCCUGUCAAUCAUUUUAUAUGCCUUGUUUCACUUAAUUCUGAACAAACUACAUGGAUGAUUUUAAUAUCUCCAUUUGUAUUAACUGAGGAUUAAAGAAGUUCAAGUGACUUACCUGAGGUCACAUAGCCGCAUAGUAAAUAGUAGCAGAAUAAAGAUAUAAAUCUAUGAUAAAGCAUAUACUCACACAUACACACAUACAUUUAC